UACGGGGGGAGCAAGCGUUGUUCGGAUUUACUGGGCGUAAAGGGCGCGUAGGCGGCCACUGCAAGUCAAUUGUGAAAUCUCCGGGCUUAACUCGGAAAGGUCAACUGAUACUGCAGGGCUAGAGUGCAGAAGGGGCAACUGGAAUUCUCGGUGUAGCGGUGAAAUGCGUAGAUAUCGAGAGGAACACCUGCGGCGAAGGCGGGUUGCUGGGCUGACACUGACGCUGAAGUGCGAAAGCUAGGGGAGCGAACGGG
rnacentral:rRNA from 1 species